GAUGAACGCUGGCGGCGUGCCUAAUACAUGCAAGUCGAGCGAACAGACGAGGAGCUUGCUCCUCUGACGUUAGCGGCGGACGGGUGAGUAACACGUGGAUAACCUACCUAUAAUACUGGGAUAACUUCGGGAAACCGGAGCUAAUACCGUAUAAUAUAUUGAACCGCAUGGUUCAAUAGUGAAAUACUUUUUUGCUGUCACUUAUAGAUGGAUCCGCGCCGCAUUAGCUAGUUGGUAAGGUAACGGCUUACCAAGGCGACGAUGCGUAGCCGACCUGAGAGGGUGAUCGGCCACAAUGGAACUGAGACACGGUCCAGACUCCUACGGGAGGCAGCAGUAGGGAAUCUUGCGCAAUGGGCGAAAGCCUGACGGAGCAACGCCGCGUGAGUGAUGAAGGUCUUCGGAUCGUAAAACUCUGUUAUGAGGGAAGACCAAAUGUGUAAGUAACUAUGCACGUCUUGACGGUACCUAAUCAGAAAGCCACGGCUAACUACGUG
rnacentral:rRNA from 1 species